rnacentral:lncRNA from 1 species
CAUAAUUAACUCGAGCUGAAGUUGCGAGGUCAACGACGAUCCUACGGACGAGGACUCGGAUUUGAAGGGCGAUGCGACAAAAUUAUUGGAACGGUGGAGUCUUGGAUGUGGUUGUUGUCGAGAUGAUUGACGACUGGUUCGAGCUUUUUGUCGCGCACUCGGUGAAUAUUACUCGGUUGGCUUCGUCUUCACCCGAUUCUUGGAAUUUCUUGCUGACGCGCAGAACGACGACGACUUUCGAUUGAAGUCUGGAGCGAGCUGGUAAGGUAGGGUUGAGCAGGGGAUGACAUGUUUGACGACUCGACGGCAAACGACGCGACGACGAGCGACGGCGAACGACGAGGUCGACCACGCGGUUGGGAAUUAAAGUCGAGCGAGCCGAGAGGGCGCGCUACGAGCAGGAAAAAGACUCGACGCGGGAGUUUGACGCGCACGGAAACUAUCACCAGCGACAACACGACGAUGGCGAUAUGAGCGAACGCGAAUCGGCGUGGGCCAAACACCGGACAACUGUGGCAGCGAGGAACUCGGCCACGGAACAGUGGAGCGCGCGCAGGAAAGAGGGAGGCUGAAGAGCGAGCUGGAAGCCACGGCGCUGGGCAGAGCCCGGACGGACGAGCGCGCAGGGACGAACAGGCGAGGCGACAGCGCGAGCAGGGAGGAGCUCGAGCGUGCCAUAGCCGAAGAAAGAGUUCUAGCCAGGGAGAAGAAAGUCUGCGCGGUCAGCCGAACUGGAACCGGCGUGCGCAGAGAGCACCGAGCGCCAGGGAAUUUGCAGAGGAGACCGACGCAAAGAGCCGGCCAUGGAGGGAGAUCCGAGCGAGUAGAAAUCCGGGCGCCGAGCAGAGGAAGAACGAUCUGCGUAGGGGAGGAAGAAGCUGCACAGCAUGGAGACUCAGGGGGCUGGGGCGAGUUCGUCAAGGAGCAGAGGGGCUGGGGCACCAUGGGGAAGAACCUCGGCGCGCAGAGCUCCACGGCGAGCCAGGCGAGCAGAAGGAACCAGCAGCGGGCGAGACCUGGGACAGGGAGGAGGAAGCGGCUGGGAUGGGCGCGUAGAGCAGCAGGGCAAGGCCGCGGUCAGGCGAGAUCCGAACAGAGAAGCUCCGGCCAGGGGCGAGCGAUCGGCCGGCGAUGGAGCAGGCGGCCAUGGGAAGGGCAGAGGAAGCGCCGACAGAGGAGGGGGACGCUAGCAGCAAAAAAUCAGAGGAGGGAGAGGAUAGGGAUGGCACGCCGUCAUGAACAAAAAUCAGGAAGCAGAUGAUUUGCUGCUGCGCGGGAAAGAGCCAUUUGGCUGGGAAGAAGAAGGAGCUGGACGACUUCAGCAGAUUUUCCUCUGCAGCGGCUGGAGAUAACCACGGCUGGAAUUUAUCCAUUGCUAGAAAGCGGCGCAGGGAUUUGUUCACGAGCUUGAGCGGCAUCAAAAAAAAUCCCACCCGAGGAUAAGGAAGAAGAGGAUUUGAGCGGUAAGAAUUUUCUCUUCUUUUUUUUAAUUUCUUUUCUUCUCUUUUUCUCAAAAAAUAUUAAUACUAGAAUUAGAGUUUUGGUGAGACAUUAUCAGAAUACAAUACUUGAGAUACUACUAAUUGGGUUGAACUCGGAUAAAAAAAACUUAUCUGUUCCGAUUUUCUUAGCGAUGUUUACGAUGUAGACAGUAAUUGUGACACGGUUUUGAUUUGACGAAUACUCGGGAGUCGGAUGAAUUCGUACCGUUAAUUCACCUUUUUAAAUCAAGGCGAAAAGCAACGGACCGAAUUAAACAUAUUCCGGCUUUGUUAAUUUUGCUCUGCGUGAUUUAAUUCAGUUGACUUCAGAUGAUUUCCGUUUGCUACUCGAAUACUCGACUAAACAAUUCAAUUGAAAUCCGUAGACGCAAUGUCACGGAUAACAAAAAGGGGAUUAAAUUAUUUUACCCCGAAAACUUAGUCGUCGAGUUUGACUAAUUUGCCCGGGAUAAAAAUCACCCAGUGGGUCGAGCUUCCGAAUUCAUGUCCGUGCGAGCGAUGAAUUUUUAAAUCAUUAUCGGACGCACCGAUUUUCGGAACAACGAUGUUCUGAACAUCACGAAAAUCUAAGAAGAGCCCGGGUAGAUAAAAAUAAAAACGACGUCGCACUUGCGACAGACGGAACAGAUGCGAUAUUAAAAUCGCGAUAGACGAAGAUGAUUAGAAUUUAGCAUCUGUUUUAUGCACUGAUAUUACGUGCUUAAUCCCAUACUCGUUGUCGAGCGGAAUAUAAACACCUGGAGUGUUACAGCCCUCCCCCUUAAAAGAAUCUCGUCCCGAGAUUCAGAACGAAAGACUUCUAAGGGUAGAGAAGCAUAUACCCAUGUCCAUAUCAGCGGUAAUCGUGAGACAUUUCCAAACAAGGGCGAGUGUCUCAGGAUGUUGCUUCUCUAGUGGACAUAACAUGUAUCGCCUUAGGCUAAUUUAGAUUGUCCACCAAUAGAGACCAUGUCUGCCAGAGGAACACAUAGGGUUCCAUGUGCGCAGUUUGUUUUUCUGAUGACACUAUACUUUCUGAGUCUGUUGAGCAAGCGACAGAUAUGCGAUUUUACCCAAACAGAACUAGAUGCACCAUCUUGGGUAAAACACAUAGAAAGAGGUUUACCAACAAGUGGUUACAGUAAAUCCAUAGCACAGGAGACGGGUGUGGAUGUCGAAUACUGUGGCGGUUAACCUGUGGCUAACCCGAGAAUUCAAGUCCACAAAGGAUGGUAUAGAUUCGAGAAAAUCACCCGCGGAGGGAUCUGUAGAUGCGGACUUUGCAACCAGUCUGUUUUAUCCAGCACUAUUCAUGGCUUGACUUAAUCACACAUGCUAGAAAAGCACAUGUGAGGCAAUCAAGGCAUGACUAGAGCGAUGAUUAGGUGGUGAUCAGUCGAUUUUAACUUGAUCUUUGUAAGAACUUUCUCAGGACGGGUUGAACCAAAGUGAGUUUAGACAACUCGAUAAAAUGAUCUCUAAACUCAACCUUUGUUCAUUGGGCAGUUACAAGUUAGUAAAACCAACUUGUUGAACUACUUUUAACAUUGAGCAGGUCCUCUCAGUACCAUUGGUAAACCAAGGGUUGAGAGUUCACAUUUGCUAGCAAAAGGUCAUGCAUUUGGGGGUAGAAAUCCAUUUGGUCAUGUUGUUCAUCCGUUUCUUCCGUAAGAGAUGAAUUAUCUACUUGGAUAAGGAAUACAUGGAUUAAUUAAGAGAGCGAAUGAACAAACUCCUGCAUCUCAACAGCAGGGAAAUUUAAUCUCCAAUUUGAGAGCUAAUUAGUUAUCGCUCAACACUAAAAAGCUCCAAGGCUUCACCUUUACACAAAGGAUGUAAAGGGAACUUGUAUGAGUAGUCACCACCAAGAUCAAAAGAAAAGAGACCACAUAUGAAAGUGGGAUGCCCUUUUGAUCCAAUAGAGAUGAUAAAUGUUGCUUGAUCACUCGACAAACAACAUAGAAAUUGUUUCAAGGGAAAGUCCACGGAAGAUAACACAUUAGAGUAGUUCCAUAAUGGAUCAUGACUAGAGACCUCGAUACCAGCAUGCGCCAAGCAGCAUAACCUUGUGUGUACAUUCACAAGGGGCUCUCAGUUUCGCAGCGGCACCAUAAGUCAUUAAUCAUGACACCAUCACCGAACUGGCACCAAUAAUGAAUCUCACGUGGUAAGAACAAUUUGUGCAAAGAUAACAUAUCGAUACAGUCUCAUAAUGGAUUAUGACUACUAACUGUGAUACCAGCGCGUGCCAAGUAGCGCAACCAUGUGUAUGCAUCCACAGGAGGCCCUCGAUUUUGUCGCGGCACCAUCAGUUUUAGUCACAACACCAUUAUUAGACAUAACCAAUAAGAAAUCUCACGCGACACAAAUGAAUUGGGCAAGGGUGAAUAUAUACAAGGAGAUACUCCACCUGUAAGAAUGGUUACAAGUAGAGAGCCAAAUAGAUUAUAGCCCAAGGAAAUGAACAAGACAUGUCCAUAACCUAAACUUGAUAAAAGGAGUAUGAUGGGAGACUGUUACUUCAGCCCCAAGCAUAUUUCUAUGCCCAUCAUAGAGAUCACAAGGUCAAGGAUCAUUAUCUGAUUAUAUACGGAGGGAAAACAAUCAUAGGAUUAAGUUGGUAUGCCUUCGAUAGAUAUGAAUAACCAAAGGCAUCAAACUUUAAGAAAAUGGUCGGACAAGCUUUUCCUAGGUUACGUUAAUAAGGCGACAAGUGAUCCACAAGGAGAGGCCGAAUACAAUAGGGACCUCAACUUGCAUCAACUGAACAAGGGAAUGGUUCUAGAAAGAGGCAUGACUUGAGACUCUUGUUUUAAGCUUAGGUGCAUUUUAUGUCCAAUACGGAAAUUGUCUACGCAUUUAUUUGUAUGGGCUUUGUCAUGGAGUAAUAAUGGACAAUUCAAAUUUAGGCAUGGUUCACUAAAUAAGAAUAUGGUCUAGUUUAGGGUUUAGGCAAUCAAACUACUAACCUCCUAUCAGCACAUCAAUACAAGAGCACACAUAUAAUUCCUAAAUAGAUUACCUAAGCACGGAGGAUAGCUAUUUCAUUGAAGUUCAUAAUUCAACAUUACACCACAUUAUCCACAAUCAAUGUUUACUGGAAUAAAGAUGAGAGAAGCAUUUUGGAUGUAUAGGUGACAAACACGAUGCAACAAUCAGGAUGCAUGCUCGUCCUAUACGUCCUCACUGAUUUUGCCAACAUAAUGUGGCAAUAGCGUUCUAUAUCGGUGGCAUACGUAUAGCUCUCAUGGUAUUUUGCUAGUCGUCAACUACACAUACGUUUUCGAGGUUAGUGUACCUGCAGAAAAUUUGAUUACAUCCCAAUUUCCCAAUGAUGCAGUUCACACAUGACAGUUUAUCACAGUUUAUACUCCAUAUAUUGCUAUAUGGAGGCCAGCUCAUCAUUAAGCGCCGAGCCACGCAUAGGCGCCGUUGCCACACUUUAACCAUAGGGCAACUCAUUAUGGUAACUCACCUUCUUACCUGAGCGUAGGUGUGUCGUUACAAGUACAUUACACUUCUCAGUAUUCCCAUGCCUGUAUACCCAUACACAUCCAUGGGGUACUGAAUUCCCGGAAAAGUAAUUACUCCACAUCGCAGCCUUCAUAUAUACAUAUGUGUAACAUGUAUAUAAUCAAGCGCUACAAUUAAGCACUCCCCUAGACCGACGGUUGUUCAGUCAUGCUCUCACAUCUCACCUUACCUUGAGCGACAAUCCAUUCAAAACUGAAUGGCCUCAAAAUAACAUUACACAUGUAUGCAAUACCCACCCGGUUAUGGGUUAUGGUUUUCAACUAAGCCACCUGAUAGUCCUUAGUAUAGGGCUUAACAGAGGAUGUCGCUAGCAUUAUAGUUUUUGAAAACUAUUUUUCAAAGCCAAACAAUGUUUUUAGUUGAAAAUAGGUUUUUCAAAACCAAAACUUUUGUUUUGAAAAUAUGUAUGUGACCGUAUAUACUUAAUCCAGCUCCGAUACCAGCUGUGGCAGAACCUCCAAGUUAUUGGGCCCACAUGCACCUGUCCUUGUCCCAAAGACCUUAGACGACUAUGCAUGUGCACCAGAUAACUUAACAGGAUCUGUCCGAUUGCCCCAAGGACAUCGGAUAAACCACUUUCAACCAGAACCGCGGGAUUAAGUAACACAAAUCACACACACAACAUUUUUGCAGCGGAAAUCUUAUUACCAAAUUUUACAGGUUACAAAAAUUUAUAUUAUUUUAUCGGAGUGGUUACAAAAGUAUAAGUUUUAAAUAUAUGCUAGCUCAAAUGACCAUCCUCAAUAAGAAGUAUAGAAGGGUUACUUAGACUUAUAAGAAGGCCGAGCCCACCGGCACUUAACACCAUCACAACAGCACAAGGUUAGAACCUGAAAAACAACAGGGAAUAAAACCCUGAGUAUGGAAUUACUCAGCAAGUCUUACCCGACUAAGAAAAAGACUCUCAAGGGUAUGCUGGAUAAAUAGGAAUCAAGGAGAGGCUUUAGCAAGAAUCAACUUAGAUACUUUUGCAGAAAUAGCUUACUAAAGUGAGUCCUUACUUUCAAUAUUUUAACGCCAGAUUGAAUAUUAAUAGACACUGUUUGCAUCUAGUCUAAUUUCAUCAUCUCAUCAAUACAACAUCCUUUUUAUUCAUAAUGUUCACAUCCUGACUUACGUUGUAGAAAAGUGACCAAGUCUUCAUAACCGCGAAGGUACGGCGAUCCGAAUCGAUUAUACUCAGCUGAGGAUCUCCAAUCACACGACAUAUGUAGCACUUAACCCUUGCAUAUGUCAACCCGCCACCGGGGUUCUUAAGAUCAGAUCAGGUUCACGCAAACCGAGAGCACAGAUACACCACCGUCCAGCCUCUUGCCACGGAGGGUACACGCUACUCUCGCCACCGCUCCACGCCCAUUUCGUGUUAUCUUAUUCUGUCCUUAGUCUGCCCGAGGCAAGGCUUACCCAUGACGAGGCAUGUGACCAGUUAAAGGGUCCUCGGUCAGCACGCCUACAUACGCGUUAAUCCUUAACCAACCUGGGUAGAACAUCACAUGUUCCUAACCCAAGUCUCAAUUUAAGUAUUUCCAUCCUUAGGAUUGUGUCUGUUUCUUAGGAUGAAAGAGCAUCACAGGGAACUUUGCAGUAAGAUCCCACCAUUGCUCCAAAAGAAAAUAUUCUUGCAGGUAGAAGCCAUCCUUUCUCGAGCUAGGCUAAGGAUAACCUCUAUCCACAAGAUCUAAGCAAGGCUAAGCAUUUUUGUAAAUCAUAAUUUUGAUACUUCACAGAAGUAUCUAUAAAGGUAUGGAUAUCAAGGAAAGCAAUGCAUCAAAGGGUUUCAAGCAACUCCUAUGAACUUAAUGCACAUUUCACUAGACUUAAAGUGUGCGAAAAGUAUUUAAAAACACAAGGAAAGGGGUUGCAUGCACCGGGGCUUGCCUGAGUAACACUAGGUUAGUGUUGUUAGUUGACGUCCGCUUGACGAGUAUUCUUCGACCGAGCACUUGCUUGAUUUAACCAUCUUCAGUUUGAUUCAUCAGCUUCAGCUUGCAGAUUAGCCCGCGCUUGGGGUCGACUUGGUUUUUCUUCCGCAUCACACGAUUAUUUAUCGUCCUGAAUGAAAUGCAUUAUGCAUAUGAAUGCAUAUAAAGAACAAUAACACUAGAUAUUACGAUGCUACGCAAAAGAGAAAUAACCUAUUUAAUGACGAAACAUUACGUACACUAGUUAUCGAUAUAUUGUACUUACGACAAUCAUGUUCUUACAACCUAGCUAAACAGUCGAGGUAGCAAUCAACAUCCAUUCCAAGCAUGAGAUCAACCAACACAUAAAAUAUCAUACCUAAUCUAGAGAACACACUAAACGACUUAUAAUUUUAACUUCAAAAUUCUUGGGCACCUAACACUUAUAAAAUUUUGAUAGAAGAACUUUCAUUAACUUUCUAAACUAAUUUACCGGUUAACCCGUGUAUUAUAUAUAUAUCUACCAAUAUACUUAUCGUACAACCCUAAAAUUCAACUUAAUCUCUACAUCGAGUAAUAAACAAGAGAAUCAUCGCAAUCAAUUCUUCUAUUUAAUCCUAUCAUUUAUUUAGUUGACGGGAAUAAUAAAUCAACUUACCAUAAUUAACUCGAGCUGAAGUUGCGAGGUCAACGACGAUCCUACGGACGAGGACUCGGAUUUGAAGGGCGAUGCGACAAAAUUAUUGGAACGGUGGAGUCUUGGAUGUGGUUGUUGUCGAGAUGAUUGACGACUGGUUCGAGCUUUUUGUCGCGCACUCGGUGAAUAUUACUCGGUUGGCUUCGUCUUCACCCGAUUCUUGGAAUUUCUUGCUGACGCGCAGAACGACGACGACUUUCGAUUGAAGUCUGGAGCGAGCUGGUAAGGUAGGGUUGAGCAGGGGAUGACAUGUUUGACGACUCGACGGCAAACGACGCGACGACGAGCGACGGCGAACGACGAGGUCGACCACGCGGUUGGGAAUUAAAGUCGAGCGAGCCGAGAGGGCGCGCUACGAGCAGGAAAAAGACUCGACGCGGGAGUUUGACGCGCACGGAAACUAUCACCAGCGACAAC